rnacentral:rRNA from 1 species
CCCUGUUGAGGGCGAUAACCUCGGGAAACUGAGGCUAAUAGCCCAUACGGCUCGAUGCCUGGAACUGGCUCGAGCUCGAAAUGCUCAGGCGCGACAGGAUGUGGCUGCGGCCGAUUAGGUAGACGGUGGGGUAACGGCCCACCGUGCCGAUAAUCGGUACGGGUUGUGAGAGCAAGAGCCCGGAGACGGAAUCUGAGACAAGAUUCCGGGCCCUACGGGGCGCAGCAGGCGCGAAACCUUUACACUGCACGACAGUGCGAUAAGGGGACUCCAAGUGCGAGGGCAUAUAGUCCUCGCUUUUGUGUACCGUAAGGUGGUACACGAAUAAGGGCUGGGCAAGACCGGUGCCAGCCGCCGCGGUAAUACCGGCAGCCCAAGUGAUGACCGCUAUUAUUGGGCCUAAAGCGUCCGUAGCUGGCCGUACAAGUCCGUCGGGAAAUCUACUCGCUUAACGAGUAGACGUCCGGCGGAAACUGUUCGGCUAGGGACCGGAAGACCUGAGGGGUACGUCUGGGGUAGGAGUGAAAUCCCGUAAUCCUGGACGGACCACCGGUGGCGAAAGCGCCUCAGGAAGACGGAUCCGACAGUGAGGGACGAAAGCUCGGGUCACGAACCGGAUUAGAUACCCGGGUAGUCCGAGCCGUAAACGAUGUCUGCUAGGUGUGACGCUGGC